AACGAACGCUGGCGGCAGGCCUAACACAUGCAAGUCGAGCGAGGACUUCGGUCCUAGCGGCGGACGGGGGAGUAACGCGGGGGAACGUGCCCUUUGCUUCGGAAUAGCCCUGGGAAACUGGGAGUAAUACCGGAUGAGCCCCUCGGGGGAAAGAUUUAUCGGCGAAGGAUCGGCCCGCGUUGGAUUAGGUAGUUGGUGGGGUAAUGGCCUACCAAGGCGACGAUCCAUAGCUGGUUUGAGAGGAUGAUCAGCCACACUGGGACUGGGACACGGCCCAGACUCCUACGGGAGGCAGCAGUGGGGAAUCUUAGACAAUCGGGGGAACCCUGAUCUAGCCAUGCCGCGUGAGCGAUGAAGGCCUUAGGGUUGUAAAGCUCUUUAAGCUGGGAAGAUAAUGACGGUACCAGCAGAAGAAGCCCCGGCUAACUCCGUG
rnacentral:rRNA from 1 species